rnacentral:rRNA from 1 species
UACAGAGGGUGCGAGCGUUAAUCGGAAUUACUGGGCGUAAAGCGUGCGUAGACGGUUAUUUAAGUCGGGUGUGAAAGCCCCCGGCUCAACUGGGGAGGGUCACUCGAUACUGAUCGACUUGAAGGCAGGAGAGGGAAGCGGAAUUCCCGGUGUAGUGGUGAAAUGCGUAGAUAUCGGGAGGAACACCCGUGGCUAAGGCGGCUCUCUAGUACGGUACUGACGCUGAGACGCGAAAGCGUGGGGAGCGAACAGG